rnacentral:rRNA from 1 species
GGUUAAGUUAGAAAGGGCGCACGGUGGAUGCCUUGGCACUAGGAGCCGAAGAAGGACGGGACUAACACCGAUAUGCUUUGGGGAGCUGUACGUAAGCGUUGAUCCAGAGAUUUCCGAAUGGGGGAACCCACUAUCUUUAGUCGGAUAGUAUCCUUACGUGAAUACAUAGCGUGAGGAAGGCAGACCCAGGGAACUGAAACAUCUAAGUACCUGGAGGAAGAGAAAGAAAAAUCGAUUUCCUGAGUAGCGGCGAGCGAAACGGAAAGAGCCCAAACCAAGAAGCUUGCUUCUUGGGGUUGUAGGACACUCUAUACGGAGUUACAAAAGAAAGUUAUAAAUGAAGCGGUCUGGAAAGGCCCGCCAAAGACGGUAACAGCCCGGUAGUUGAAAUAGCUUUCCCUCCAGAGUGGAUCCUGAGUACGGCGGAACACGUGAAAUUCCGUCGGAAUCCGGGAGGACCAUCUCCCAAGGCUAAAUACUCCCUAGUGACCGAUAGUGAACCAGUACCGUGAGGGAAAGGUGAAAAGCACCCCGGAAGGGGAGUGAAACAGUUCCUGAAACCGUGUGCCUACAAGUAGUUAGAGCCCGUUAAUGGGUGAUAGCGUGCCUUUUGUAGAAUGAACCGGCGAGUUACGAUUUGUUGCAAGGUUAAGCGGAAAAAGCGGAGCCGUAGCGAAAGCGAGUCUGAAUAGGGCGCAUAAGUAACAGGUCGUAGACCCGAAACCAGGUGAUCUACCCAUGUCCAGGAUGAAGGUAAGGUAAUACUUACUGGAGGUCCGAACCCACGCACGUUGAAAAGUGCGGGGAUGAGGUGUGGGUAGCGGAGAAAUUCCAAUCGAACUUGGAGAUAGCUGGUUCUCUCCGAAAUAGCUUUAGGGCUAGCCUCGAGGUAAAGAGUCAUGGAGGUAGAGCACUGUUUGGACUAGGGGCCCUUCUCGGGUUACCGAAUUCAGAUAAACUCC